rnacentral:rRNA from 1 species
GACGAACGCUGGCGGCGUGCUUAACACAUGCCAGUCGAACGGUGAAGCUCCAGCUUGCUGGAGUGGAUCAGUGGCGAACGGGUGAGUAACACGUGAGCAACCUGCCCCUGACUCUGGAAUAAGCGCUGGAAACGGCGUCUAAUACUGGAUACGAGAAGGGUCCGCAUGGGCACCUUCUGGAAAGUUUUUCGGUUGGGGAUGGGCUCGCGGCCUAUCAGCUUGUUGGUGAGGUAAUGGCUCACCAAGGCGACGACGGGUAGCCGGCCUGAGAGGGCGACCGGCCACACUGGGACUGAGACACGGCCCAGACUCCUACGGGAGGCAGCAGUGGGGAAUAUUGCACAAUGGGCGAAAGCCUGAUGCAGCGACGCCGCGUGAGGGAUGACGGCCUUCGGGUUGUAAACCUCUUUCAGCAGGGAAGAAGCGAAAGUGACGGUACCUGCAGAAGAAGCACCGGCUAACUACGUG